rnacentral:rRNA from 1 species
GUCUAAGCAGUAAACGAUGAAUACUAAAUGCAAGAUAAAAAUUUUGUGUUGAAGAUAACUCGAUAAGUAUUCCGCCUGAGUACUACGAUCGCAAGAUUAAAAUUCAAAAUAUUUGACGGUUCCUAAAUUCCAGCCGGAGGAGCAUGUGGUUUAAUUCGAUAACCCGCGAGAAACCUUACCUAAUUUGGUUCAAUAGUUAAUAAAACAAUAUUUAUAUUGAUCAGAUGCUGCAUGACUGCCGU